GACGAACGCUGGCGGCGUGCUUAACACAUGCAAGUCGAACGGAAAGGCCCUGCUUUUGUGGGGUGCUCGAGUGGCGAACGGGUGAGUAACACGUGAGUAACCUGCCCUUGACUUUGGGAUAACUUCAGGAAACUGGGGCUAAUACCGGAUAGGAGCUCCUGCUGCAUGGUGGGGGUUGGAAAGUUUCGGCGGUUGGGGAUGGACUCGCGGCUUAUCAGCUUGUUGGUGGGGUAGUGGCUUACCAAGGCUUUGACGGGUAGCCGGCCUGAGAGGGUGACCGGCCACAUUGGGACUGAGGUACGGCCCAGCCUGCUACGGGAGGCAGCAGUGGGGAAUAUUGCACAAUGGGCGGAAGCCUGAUGCAGCAACGCCGCGUGCGGGAUGACGGCCUUCGGGUUGUAAACCGCUUUCGCCUGUGACGAAGCGUGAGUGACGGUAAUGGGUAAAGAAGCACCGGCUAACUACGUG
rnacentral:rRNA from 1 species